AGAGUUUGAUCAUGGCUCAGAGCGAACGCUGGCGGCGUGCUUAACACAUGCAAGUCGAGUGCGCGUUUCCGUAGCAAUACGGAAAUGGCGCACGGCGCACGGGUGCGUAACACGUGGGUAAUCUGCCCUUCGAUGGGGAAUAACUCGCCGAAAGGCGAGCUAAUUCCGCAUAACAUUCCUUGGACUCUGGUUCGAGGAUUCAAAGGCGUAAGUCGUCGGAGGAGGAGCCCGCGCACGAUUAGCUAGUUGGUGAGGUAAUGGCUCACCAAGGCUAUGAUCGUUAGCUGGUCUGAGAGGAUGGCCAGCCACACUGGAACUGAGACACGGUCCAGACUCCUACGGGAGGCAGCAGUGGGGAAUCUUGCACAAUGGGCGAAAGCCUGAUGCAGCGACGCCGCGUGGGGGAUGAAGCUUCUCGGAGUGUAAACCCCUUUCGACCGGGACGAAUGCCCGCAAGGGACUGACGGUACCGGUAUAAGAAGCCCCGGCUAACUACGUGCCAGCAGCCGCGGUAAGACGUAGGGGGCCAGCGUUGCUCGGAAUUACUGGGUGUAAAGGGUUCGUAGGCGGUGUAGCAAGUCGGGAGUGAAAUCUCUGGGCUCAACCCAGGGGCUGCUUCCGAAACUGCUGUGCUAGAGUGUGGGAGAGGCGCGUGGAAUUGCAGGUGUAGCGGUGAAAUGCGUAGAUAUCUGCAGGAACACCCGUGGCGAAAGCGGCGCGCUGGACCACUACUGACGCUGAGGAACGAAAGCUAGGGGAGCAAACAGGAUUAGAUACCCUCGUAGUCC
rnacentral:rRNA from 1 species